rnacentral:rRNA from 1 species
UAGUCUACGCUGUAAACGAUGUCGACUUGGAGGUUGUGCCCUUGAGGCGUGGCUUCCGGAGCUAACGCGUUAAGUCGACCGCCUGGGGAGUACGGCCGCAAGGUUAAAACUCAAAUGAAUUGACGGGGGCCCGCACAAGCGGUGGAGCAUGUGGUUUAAUUCGAUGCAACGCGAAGAACCUUACCUACUCUUGACAUCCACGGAAUUCGCCAGAGAUGGCUUAGUGCCUUCGGGAACCGUGAGACAGGUGCUGCAUGGCUGUCGUCAGCUCGUGUUGUGAAAUGUUGGGUUAAGUCCCGCAACGAGCGCAACCCUUAUCCUUUGUUGCCAGCACGUAAUGGUGGGAACUCAAAGGAGACUGCCGGUGAUAAACCGGAGGAAGGUGGGGAUGACGUCAAGUCAUCAUGGCCCUUACGAGUAGGGCUACACACGUGCUACAAUGGCAUAUACAAAGAGAAGCGAACUCGCGAGAGCAAGCGGACCUCAUAAAGUAUGUCGUAGUCCGGAUUGGAGUCUGCAACUCGACUCCAUGAAGUCGGAAUCGCUAGUAAUCGUAGAUCAGAAUGCUACGGUGAAUACGUUCCCGGGCCUUGUACACACCGCCCGUCACACCAUGGGAGUGGGUUGCAAAAGAAGUAGGUAGCUUAA